GUAGCCAACCCAGUGGGUGUGAAGUGAUAUUUCAUUGUGGUUUUAAUUUGCAUUUACCUAAUGACUAAUGAUGUUAAGCAUCCUGUCAUAUACUUGUUGGCCAUUCAUGUAUUUUCUUUAGAUAUAUGUCUAUUCGGCUUCUUUGCCCAAAGUUAUCUUUUCACUUUCUUGAUAAUGUCCUUUCAUGCACAAAAGUUUUUAAUUUUCAUGGCAUUUAGUUUAUUUGCUUUUUCUUUUGUUGUUUAUGCUUUUGAAUUAUCUAAGAAUUCAUUGCCAAAUCCAUGGUCAUGAAGCUUACCUCUUCUUCUAAGAGUUUUAUAACAUUAGCUCCUACAUUUAGGUUGUUUAUCCCUUUUGAGUUAUUUUAUAUAGUAUGAGGUAGGAGUGCAACUUCAUUCCUCAACACAUGACUACCCGGUUGUCCCAGCGUCAUCUGUUGAGGAAACUAUCCGUUUCCUUUACAGUGGUCUUGGCACUGCUGUUGCAAGUCAAUUAACUGUAUGUGUGAAGAUUUAUCUCUGGGCUUUUUAUCCUGUUCAAUAGAUCUUCAUGUCUAUCUUUAUGUCAGCACCACACCGUUUUGAUUACAGUAGCUUUUUAUUAAGUUUUGAAAUCAGGUAGUGGGAGUCCUCCAACUUUGUUCUUUUUCAAAAUUGUUUUGGCUCCUUUCAAUACCAUGUGAAUUUGAAAUUUGGCUUUCCUAUUUCUUGAGAGAAAAAAAAAGACUAUUGGAAUUCUGAUAGAGAUUACAUUGAAUCUGUAGAUCACAUUGGGUAAUACUGCUAUUCUAAUAAUAUUAAGUCUUCCAAUCCAUUAAGAUAAGUUGUCUCCAUUUAUUUAGGUCUCUAACCUUGAUUAUAUUUAUUUAUACCUAUUUAUUUUGGAUGCUAUUGUAAGUGAAAGUUUUCUUAAUUUUGUCUUUGGAUAAUUCGUUGCUAGUGUAUGGAAAUAAACUGAUUUUUGUGUACUGAUCUGCAGUUUUUUAGAAUUUGUUUAUUAGCUGUAAUUGUAUUUUGUAGAGUAUUUAGGAUUUUAUAUAUAUAAGAUCAUGUCAUCUGUGGAGAAAGGUAGCCUUACUUCUUCCUCUCCGAUUUGUAUGUCUUUUUUUCUUUUGCUUGCCUAACUGCUCUGGCUAGAAUGUCCAGUAUAAUGCCAUGCUGAAGUGGCAAACAUGGGCAUUCUUGUCUUCUUCCUCAUCUUAUGAGGACUGCUUUCAGACUCUAACCAUUCAUUAUGUUAGCUGUGGAUUUUCCAUAAAUUCUCUUUGUGAGAUUGAGGAAUUUUCCUUCCUCCAAGUUGGUCAAGCUAUCUUUAUCAUGGAAUGCUGCUGAAUUUUGUAAAAUGUUUUCUUACAUGAAUUGAGGUGACCAUGUGGUGUUUUUUUUCUUAAUUGUAUUAAUGUGGUAUAUUAUAUUGAUUUUCAUAUAUUGAGCCUCACUUGAAUUUUGAAUACAUCUCAUUUGGUCACAGUGUAUAAUGAUUGUAACAUGCUGCCUGAUUCAACUUUAUUGAGGAUUUUUACCCAUAUGUUCAUAAGGAAUGUUGGUCUCUAGUUUUCUUUUCUAAUGAUACCAUCAUCUGGCUUUGGUAUUAAUGCUGGAUCUAAGGCAGGAUAGGAUAUAGCUGGAUAAUAUUUUUAACCCAUUCUGCCAAUCUUUGACUUUUAAUUGGAGUUAGUUCAUUUACAUUUAAAGUGGUUACUACCAAGGAAGGACUUCUGACAUUUUUGUUUGUUUUCUAUAUUUCAUCUUUUGUUCCUUAGUUCCUUCAUUAUUGCCUUCUUUUGUGUUUAGUUGUUUUUUAUAAUGUAUCAUUUUGAUUAUUUUAUUUUAUGUAUAAUUUCUAGUUAUUUUCUUACUGGUUAUCCUCUAUAACCAGGGCUGCUAUAACUCUGGCCCUAUACAGCUCUAUCCCACCCCUUUAUGGCAUUGUCAUCAUGAAUUAAUCUUUGUAUGUCGUGUAACCAUUAGCAUAGAUGAUAAUUUAUGUCUUAUGCAUUUGUCUUUUAAGUCAUACGGGGGGAAAGCAGAGUUACAAACCAAAAAUACAAUAAAACAGUUAUGCUAUCUCUUGUAUUUACCUAUGUAUUUGAUUUUACCAGUGUUCCUUAUUUCUUUGUAUGGCUUCAAGUUCAUUUUCAUCUGAAGAACUCCCUUUAGUAUUCCGAUAGGGCAGGUCUACUAGUGAUGAACCACUUCAGCUUUUGUUUAUCGAGAAAUGUCCUAGUUUCUCCUUCAUUUUUCAAGUAUAGUUUUGCUGGAUAUACAAUUUUUGGUUGGCAGGUUUUUUUUUUCUUUCAGCACUUUAUAUAUGUCAUUCCAUGCCUUCAGAUUCCGUGGAUUGUGCUGAGAAAUCAGCUGUUAAUCUUGAGAAUCACUCAUAUGUAAUGCCUUUCUUAUCGCAUUGCUCUCAAGACUCUCUGCCUUUGACUUUCAGCAGUUUGAUUUUAAUGUGUCUCAGUAUGGUUAUCCUUGUGUUUGUCCUCCUCGGAGUUUGUUGAGCUUCUUGGAUAUGCAGAUUUUUGUUCAAAUUGAGGGAGUUAGGGACCAUUAUACUUCAGAUAUUCUUUCUGUCCCCUUCUCUAUGUCCUGUCUCUUGGGACUCCUAUGAUGAGUAUGUUUGCAUGCUUGAUGAUAUCCAAAAGGCCUAUCUUUUUCCAUUCCUUCUUUCUUCUCCCCACCCUGCAUAAUUUUAGUUGAUCUGUCUUCAAGUUUGUUGGUUCUUUCUUCUACCUACUCAAAUAUGCUAUUGAAACCUACUAUUGAAUUCUUCAUUUAUGUUUCUGUACUUUUUAGGUCCAGAAUUUCUGUUGGGGUCCUUUUUAUAUUUUCUGUAUCUUUAUUGAUAUUCUCUAUUUGUUGAGACAUCAUUUUACUGGUUUCCUCUAUCUCUUUGCCCAUGGUUUCCUUUAGCUCUUUUAACCUAAUAAGUCAGUUGGUUUAAAAUCUUUGCUUCAUAUGACCACUGUCUGUGCUUCCUAAAGGACAGUCUCUGUUGACUUCCUCCAUGAAUAGGCUAUACUUUUCUACUUUUCUCUGCAUACCACAUAUUUUUGUGAAAAACUGGAUAUUUGAAUAUUAUGAUAACUAAAAAUCAGAUUCUUCCCCCUCCUCAGGUAAUUUAUUUUAUUUUAUUUUUGCUUGUUGUGGUUGUAGUGGUUUGUUUCUUUUAUUAUUUUUCUAAACUAUUUUUGUAAAGUCUGUAUUCUUUGUUGGGUGUAGUCUCUGAAGUCUCUCUGUUCUUUUGGCUUGUAGUCAGCUAGUGUUGUGGAAGUUGUCUCGAAUACCUAAAUGAGAGGAAGGAAAGGGAAAGGCUGAAAGAGAUAGGAAAGGAAAUGAAAGAAAAAAGAGCCUCUCCCAACGUUUGCAGAUUAGUUGUCUAAGUUUAGUGUGUAGCCAGGCUAUUUACAGCUCUGCAUUAGCCUGCACUUUGUGAGAGGUGAAAGCUCCAGGUGUUCUCUGGUCUUUCUGGGCAUGCAUUCUGCCCUGGGCAUGCACAUGGCUUUCUAGAUUCCCUGGUGUAUGCAGACACUUUGCAAUACCCUAAUCUCCCAAAGAAACUCUCUCCCCAGUUUCUCUUUCUAGACUGUUGGAGUGUCAGGUGUUUUGUGUUGAUUUGUUUGUUUGUUUGUUUUGCCUCAAAUUCAGUCUCUGCCCCAGAAGUAGCACAUUUGUUCAUUUGCCUUACAGUGUUUCCAAGGAAUGCCCUCUACAUAGCCACUCUUUCACUGUGACAGAGCUCGAAGUCAGGUGGAACAGAAGCAACCACCCUACACCAGCCCUUCAGAUAGUCUCCAGAUGGGUCAAAACAGACAAAACACAGUUCUUUGAGGAUAUUAUCUUUUCUGCUUCCAGAACCAGAGACUGGAGUCUACCCUGGGAACUCAGGCUGCUAUCUUCAAGAUCAUCACUAGGCCAGGAAGGGAAGUGAGACAAGAGCAAGCAAAAUUCCACAAAGUUUUCCUUAUGUGUGUAUAUGCUUGUGGUGCUUCUGACCUGGAAGAGAUCCCAAUGACACGAGCCUCCUGCACUAAUUCCUGAACAAAACUGGGGCCUUGGGUGAAACAGAAGCGGCAGUUUUGAGACGUUAGUUGCUAUGAUCGGCCUGCAGAAAGAACAGAGGCCAGCAGUCUUUGGAAUUCAGUAGAGGAUGCAAGAUGGAGCAAAUUAUCUUUCACUCGAGUAGCUGUCCCAGCAUGACUCUGACCACUGGACCUCUAAGAGAUUUCCCUGCGUGGCAGGUUCCUGAGUCUUUGAAAGGGCAUUUAAUGGACUCACAAAACUGAGCCACAAAAGACGACAUCUGCACCCACCUCCCACACCAAACAUCAGCAGAAAGUCUUUUCGUGGCCACUCACCUUUAUUUUAUAAUGUCCCCAAGCUACCAGAAAAUUGCACUUCAAGAGCCAGAAGGAGAGGAGGGGAUGUGGGCCAGAAUUAUAGGUAACCAGGGGAUUCUGUGUGCUUCUCCUGAGACAUUCCUCCUAAGAGUUUGCAACGAAGAUGCUGAGUACGCAGACCGUCACUUCAGCCUUCACCACAUAAUGACAUGGCGUGAUCAGGCGUAUCAUUAGGGCAUGCUACAAAAUGUUAUUUCUUCCUGCCUCAUUCUGGUUUCCCCAAACCUGAAUCAGUAAUUCCAGUGGGUCAGUUCUCCCCAGAAUAGAAGUAUCUCCAGAACCUGCUGAAGAUUACUGCGAUUCCUGCCACAUCACUGCGAUUACUGCAGUACGAUUUUGGAGCGGGACCGUCUUGGGUUCAAGUCUUGGCUCCCAUGUGUGACUUUUGACAAGGGGCUUAAUGUCUUUGAGCCUAGAUUUCAUUAUUUAUAAAGUGAGAAUAUCUACCACAUGGCACAUUUAUAAAGAUAAAAGAUCAUGUAUGUACUUCGCAUUAUAAGUAAUACAAAGUAAAUGCUCAACAAAAUGAUGAUUAGCCUGUGUUUUAUACCUUAAUAUCUGCUCCAACCUCGAUUAUAUGACAUCCUCCUGAUGGGACUGUCUCCUCCCUUCCCUCUUCAGGCCAGCAUCUCCUUGCUUUUGCCACAGCCCCUGUGUUAAAAAUCUUCAUCAUCAUCACACAUUUUCCCUGCUGAAAAGUUGCAUCACGAUGCUUACUGAACAACUCUCAAAUCCUUGUCUCGCCAUGAAAGUUCUCUGUGCCUUGACUCUUGUUCCCUUUCACUUGUGUCUUUCACUGACAGCAACAUAUGGACACGUGCUGCGUGCCGGGUGUGGUGGACGUAGUGUGAGCAAGACCGCAUCCCUGCAUCCAUGUGGCACAUGUAACCAGCUGCAGUCACUACCCAGAGCUCACUGCCCCUGAGAACACCUCACUCACUUACCCCAUUAAUGAAGGCAUGAAUACUCGUGCCUCGAGUAACAAAUAAGGGCUGCAACGUAGGCAAAGGUGAGGACAGAGAUCCAUCUCAUUGAAGGGAGCGUUCAGAGGAAAGGAAGACAAAUACAAAAAUGGGAAAUCCAGUCUCUGGUUUUAGCUUUAACACUAAUGGGAGUGUGGGGCGAGGUGCUACAGGAGCCAGUGCAGGUAUUUACAGCCAUGCAAGAGUCCCAAUCCAGUAGAGGUGGUUAGAGACGCUUCGCAGACAAAGUGUCAUGAGUGUAGGCCCUGAAAGAUGGGUAGGAUUUCUACAGCAUUCCAACCAGUGGGAAAAGCAUCAAACCAGGCCAGUCACCUUGGCAACCAGGUGUCACAUUAUCAUCAGAGAAACUACUUGUGCAUGUAAUGAUCUUAGGAUUGCUCAGCUGCAGGCAUUCUGGUCGUCGAAAAACAGCCGUUCUCAAAUGUUGGUGUCCGUCGGCCUCACCUAGACAGCUAAUGAAUGGCCCAGACUUACUGAAGUAGACCAGUCUUUAGUAAACUUCAGUAAAAAUGGGCCUGAGCCUGUUUUUACCAACUUUCCCAGGUGGUUUUUGAAACACGUUACAUUUGGAGAACCACUGCCUUAAAAACUAAGCCAGUGCUUUUCCAAGUCUGGUCUGUGACCAGCAGCAGCAUCGGCUGGGAGCUGCUUACAAAUGCGGGAGCUCAGAAUCCACCCCAGACCUACUGAAUGAGUAUGUGUGUAUUAAUAUUAUAUCCGGGUGAUUCAUGUGGACGCUUAACUGUGACAGGAACUGAUUCAAACAAGUGGCUCUUAACCAGAGUUUCACACUGGAAGUUUUAAAAUUUACUGAUACCUGAUCAUACCCUCAGAUUCUUACCAUAUUUGUAUGGGCGUGGCCUGGACAUGGGUAAGUCCAAUGGGAAGCAGAGUCUAUAACUCACAGCUCGAAGGAAUUUCCAGGUGUUCAUGAUUCUUUGUAAAUACACCAAAGUAAUAUGGGCUCCUUGAUAUUUUUUCCUUGAUAGUUUUUGUUUUUUUGUGUGCAUAUGUGUAUCCAAAACUUGGAUUGUACUGCUCACUAAUGGGAUUUUUUUUCACUUACAAUUAUAUCUGGUUAACUUACAUGAUGUAAUAGUUCAUUUAUAUCUCUGUAAACCUGAAGAAAAAUCUGAUUCGAGAGAAUGAUAAAGCAAUUAUGGUAAAAAAUGGCAAGAUUUGGAGAAGUUAGUGAAAGGUAAAAGGAAAUUCCUUGUACUAAUUUUUACACUUAUCCCUUGAGUUUGAAACUAUUUCAAAAUAAAGAAAAAAAUCACAUAUGUAGGGCCUCUCUCCUCAUUCUUUUUUCUAGCUGCAUAUAUUCCUUUUACAGAUUAUACUGUAUUUAUUUCAUUUAACCAGUACUCUAUUGAUAGACAUAUGGUUUUUUUCCUGUCCCCUAUAUUACAAAAAAUUUUCAAAGUUAACAUCCUUUUAUUUUUUUUUACAAUAUUAUUCCAUUUAUUUAAACUGAAAAAAACCAAACUUUACCCAUUUCUCCCAACACCCCUCCCCACCCCCCAGCCUCCUACAAGCACCAAUCUGUUCUCUGUAUCUAUAAGUUUGGUAUUUUUCUUUGUCAGUUGGUUUUAGAGUCCACAUGUAAGAGAGAUAAUACAGUAUGUCUUUCUUUCUCUGACUUACUUCAUUUAGCAUAAUGCCUCAAGUUCCACUCAUGUUAUCACAAAUGGCAAGAUUUCAUGUUUUAUGGCUGAAUAAUAUUCCACUGUG